GAAUAUUGGACAAUGGGGGGAACCCUGAUCCAGCCAUGCCGCGGGUGUGAAGGAGGCCUUUUGGUUGUAAAGCACUUUAAGCGAGGAGGAGGCUGCUUAGAUCAAUACUCUAGGAUAGUGGACGUUACUCGCAGAAUCAGCACCCGCCAGCUCUGUGCCAGCAGCCGCGGUAAUCCGGAGGGUGGAAGCGUUAAUCGGAAUUACUGGGCGUAAAGGGGGCGUAGGUGGCCAAUUAAGUCAAAUGUGAAAUCCCCGAGCUUAACUUGGGAAUUGCAUUCGAUACUGGUUGGCUAGAGUAUGGGAGAGGAUGGUAGAAUUCCAGGUGUAGCGGUGAAAUGCGUAGAGAUCUGGAGGAAUACCGAUGGCGAAGGCCGCCAUCUGGCCUAAUACUGACCCUGAGGUGCGAAAGCAUGGGGAGCAAACA
rnacentral:rRNA from 1 species